UACGGGGGAUGCAAGCGUUAUCCGGAUUUAUUGGGUUUAAAGGGUGCGUAGGCUGUGAGGUAAGUCAGCGGUGAAAUGCCCCCGCUCAACGGGGUGAAGUGCCAUUGAUACUGCCUUGCUGGAAUGCGGAUGCCGUGGGAGGAAUGUGUGGUGUAGCGGUGAAAUGCAUAGAUAUCACACAGAACACUGAUUGCGAAGGCAUCUCACGAAUCCGCGAUUGACGCUGAUGCACGAAAGCGUGGGUAUCAAACAGG
rnacentral:rRNA from 1 species